UACGGAGGAUGCAAGCGUUAUCCGGAAUGAUUGGGCGUAAAGCGUCCGCAGGUGGCUGUGUAAGUCUGCUGUCAAAGAGCAAAGCUCAACUUUGUAAAGGCAGUGGAAACUACACGGCUAGAGUGCGUUCGGGGCAGAGGGAAUUCCUGGUGUAGCGGUGAAAUGCGUAGAGAUCAGGAAGAACACCGGUGGCGAAAGCGCUCUGCUAGGCCGCAACUGACACUCAUGGACGAAAGCUAGGGGAGCGAAUGGG
rnacentral:rRNA from 1 species